UAUCUGUGGUAUUUCUUUCCUGAUCUCGGUUCCCUUUUCAAGUACACUAUUGCUUUGGAAUAGAUGACGCAUGUCUUUGGGACAGCAAGUCAUAUGCCAAGUUUCCACAGAUGGGGAAACCGAGGCACAGAUCAAUGCUAUGAUACGCACGAGGCCACAGAUGGAGACACAGUCAGAGUGGAAGUAGGACUCAAGGGCUCAUCUGUGGUGUUUAUGGAGGAUCUAAUGAGAGACCUUGCAAUGACCAUGGCUGUGUUUUGAGGACACAAUGCUUUCAGGAUGCUGCGAAGCUCCUUGCUAAAUGUGCUGGCGGUUUCAUUGCAGACAGGAGUAGCAUGACGCAGGAAAUGGGCUUCUGAAGGAAAAGCAAACAGUGUUUACCAGGGAGGGAAACCAAGGAGGAAUUCCAAACUGUUUGUCGGGGUUUGGAAACUGUGAUGCCAUCAGAGUCUUCCUCAGUGGGUCUGCCCUGGAAAGAAGGGAGAAGGCUGGAGCAAUUAGAGAGCCUCUUGUAGGCCUGAUGUUUGCAAGCCUCCUGAUCUACUCACUGAAGCUCUCUUACCUGCUACCGGAAGAGACUAAUCAUGAGCAGUCUCUGCGGCUCACACUAGUUCAGGUGCAGCAAGAGUCCACUGCGGCUCUGUCUACACUUGGAAAACGACCCCAAAUCAGCUUCCUUGCCCUCCCUCCACUGUGUGUUGGACAGGGUUCAGCUGCUAGUAUGGAUGGGAGCAAGCUAAUCUGAACAUCAUUCUGGAAAGCACGAUUGAGACCACGUUUUAGACAAAGAGCUCUAUAUAAGGGCAAAGGAUAUUAUCCUGGACACACAUAGCCUAGCUCAUUGCAAUGUGAAUUUAGAAUCACGUGAAAUGUACAUUCAGCUUUAAGAAGAGGCAUUAGAAAGCGGUUGGAUUUCAUUGUUCACCGCCUACCUGUGCCUCUGUUAUCAUUUGCCCAACACCCAUGUGCUAGUUCCAUAUGUCUACACAGCAAAUCCAGGCGUGAUUGUCCCACCGGUCGGCAUACCUGUGCUAGCUUUAAUCUAGCUGGAGUGGAUAAUAAUAGUCAAGCAGGGAUGGCCACCUCAGUACAGGCUUGCCUGGUACCUUGGCUCUGUACUCAGCCUGUGCUGAUGUCUGCUCCACUGCAUCUUCACUACCAUUGUUACCCGCAUCAGCUAGAUUAAAGCCUUGUGCUACCUGCACACCUCUCAGGGUUUGACAACCCACAGACAAAUAAAAGAGACAGGAGCUGACCGUGCUGAACCCCAGUCCUUCAAACAUUUCCCAUGGGCGUAAGUGAAGGAUGGGACUUGGAUUUCAACGUGAGGCCUCAUGUACUUCAAUAAGAGUGUGUUUGCAGGAUCGGGGCCUUAGCAGAGACGUGAUGAGACAAGGAAAGAGACACAGGGAGGAAACAGGCCACACAACGGCACCCAAGACGGGGAGGCCGUGGUGGAGAGACUCCCCACGACGGAGGGCUUAACGAGAUCCACGUCAAUAUAGCUAGGAGAAUUCACCUAGAAAUUUGUCUCAGUUCUCUGAGGACAGGACAAAGUGGCACCACAUGGAUGAGUGAGGAAAAACCGUCUGGGGAUGAAAAGACGCAAUCCCAGAAGCACCGGUACUGAAGUAUUUUCAAAUGAGCAAAGAGCCUCAGAUCUCAGUCGACAGGCACUCCUGUGGGCUAGGAUUAUGUGGGGGUUGAACCCCCAUCACAGGGCAGCGGCUGGGGUCUCCUGACUCCAGCAUCUACCCUUACAGGAGCCAUGGCGGAAACAAUGAGUUAAUGUGACUUAUUGA